rnacentral:rRNA from 1 species
GCGUGCGUAGGCGGUUUAUUAAGUCAGAUGUGAAAGCCCCGGGCUUAACCUGGGAACUGCAUUUGAAACUGGUCAACUAGAGUAUGGCAGAGGAAAGUGGAAUUUCUGGUGUAGCGGUGAAAUGCGUAGAUAUCAGAAGGAACAUCAAUGGCGAAGGCAGCUUUCUGGACCAAUACUGACGCUGAGGUACGAAAGCGUGGGUAGCAAACAGGAUUAGAUACCCUGGUAGUCCACGCCGUAAACGAUGAUAACUAGCCGUUGGGGGGAUUUACCCCUUAGUGGCGAAGCUAACGCGUUAAGUUAUCCGCCUGGGGAGUACGGCCGCAAGGCUAAAACUCAAAGGAAUUGACGGGGACCCGCACAAGCGGUGGAGCAUGUGGUUUAAUUCGAUGCAACGCGAAGAACCUUACCUGGUCUUGACAUCCUGCGAACUUUCUAGAAAUAGAUUGGUGCCUUCGGGAACGCAGUGACAGGUGCUGCAUGGCUGUCGUCAGCUCGUGUCGUGAGAUGUUGGGUUAAGUCCCGUAACGAGCGCAACCCCUAUCCUUAUUUGCCAGCACAUUAUGGUGGGAACUAUAAGGAGACUGCCGGUGAUAAACCGGAGGAAGGCGGGGACGACGUCAAGUCAUCAUGGCCCUUACGACCAGGGCUACACACGUGCUACAAUGGGAAGGACAAAGAGCCGCGAAGCCGCGAGGUGUAGCUAAUCUCACAAAUCUUUUCGUAGUCCGGAUUGGAGUCUGCAACUCGACUCCAUGAAGUCGGAAUCGCUAGUAAUCGUAGAUCAGAAUGCUACGGUGAAUACGUUCCCGGGUCUUGUACACACCGCCCGUCAUACCAUGGGAGUGGGUUGCACCAGAAGUGGCUAGUCUAACU